GCAAGCAAGCAUGAGCUCUCAAGUAGCGCCUGCCACUGCAGGGUGUCUGGCUUUUAUAUCAGCACACGCUGACUCGUGCGGGAGCUUUGACCAUCAAUGGCGCACCAAUGCAUUACGUCUUCUCGCCUUUUCACCACUUGACAGCAGCACCAAGGUAGGCGUAGAAAAAUGUAUCGCCAACCUUUUCUGUGGCACGUUGGAAGAUGAACAAGUUAAGGCAACUCUCACUCCAAAAAAGAUAGAGGGAGGGGAUUGGCUGGAGCUCCCGCAGGACUCGGACAAAACAGCUGGCUGGACAAUUUGACAACAAUGAAAUGAUCCUUCACAAUGUGAUAACAUUAUCAAUAACCUAAUGGGCAACUUAAUACCUAUUGGAAAUAACAUGAUACGGUAAUGAUCAAUAACUGCACGCACGUAAAUGAUGAAUGGGUGGUCUUCAUAAGUACAAGACUGGAUAACGGUUAUCAAUAAGCAUAUGCCUAACUUGCAGAAUCAACGCUAAUUACUCAUUAGCCUUCACAAAAUAUCAAUAAACGAACAACUUGAUGGUUUUUUAACGCAACCCUCCAAUUUAAAAGAGAUGGUCAAGAACCACAAAGCAUGUUGUCUUCACAUGAUGAUGUGAAGACAACAUGAUUCAAUGGACUGAAUGGUCAUUAGGACAUUGAUUCAUGUUUGCAAAUGAUGCAAUGAUUCGCUGUCAAUAUCCUUCAAUCGACUUCAAAGUCGUUGGACUGCUGACCAUUCACGUACACCCGACGAGCCAAUCGGCCGGCCGGCCGGCCGGCCGACCGACAGCAAAUCAAUCCUGAUUACUGUGGCUUAACAAAGAUCAAUGAGGGUUAAUGGUCGCGGUGACUUUGUACCGAUCAACGUGGGACAACAAGGACACGCUAAACUGUUUCCCCCUCACUCUCCAGAGCAAGUGAAAUAAAAAA